rnacentral:rRNA from 1 species
AGUGAACGCUGGCGGUAGGCCUAACACAUGCAAGUCGAACGGCAGCACAGUAAGAGCUUGCUCUUACGGGUGGCGAGUGGCGGACGGGUGAGGAAUACAUCGGAAUCUACUUUUUCGUGGGGGAUAACGUAGGGAAACUUACGCUAAUACCGCAUACGACCUACGGGUGAAAGCAGGGGAUCUUCGGACCUUGCCCGAUUGAAUGAGCCGAUGUCGGAUUAGCUAGUUGGCGGGGUAAAGGCCCACCAAGGCGACGAUCCGUAGCUGGUCUGAGAGGAUGAUCAGCCACACUGGAACUGAGACACGGUCCAGACUCCUACGGGAGGCAGCAGUGGGGAAUAUUGGACAAUGGGCGCAAGCCUGAUCCAGCUAUACCGCGUGGGUGAAGAAGGCCUUCGGGUUGUAAAGCCCUUUUGUUGGGAAAGAAAAGCAGCAGGUUAAUACCCCGCUGUUCUGACGGUACCCAAAGAAUAAGCACCGGCUAACUUCGUG